UACGAAGGGGCUAGCGUUGCUCGGAAUCACUGGGCGUAAAGGGUGCGUAGGCGGGUCUUUAAGUCAGGGUGAAAUCCUGGAGCUCAACUCCAGAACUGCCCUUGAUACUGACGGUCUCGAGUCCGGGAGAGGUGAGUGGAACUGCGAGUGUAGAGGUGAAAUUCGUAGAUAUUCGCAAGAACACCAGUGGCGAAGGCGGCUCACUGGCCCGGUACUGACGCUGAGGUGCGAAAGCGUGGGAGCAACAGGAGUU
rnacentral:rRNA from 1 species